rnacentral:rRNA from 1 species
AUUCCAGCUCCAAUAGCGUAUAUUAAAGUUGUUGCAGUUAAAAAGCUCGUAGUCGGAUUUCGGGGCGGGCCGGGCGGUCUGCCGAUGGGUAUGCACUGUCCGGCGCGUCCUUCUUUCCGGAGACCGCGCCUACUCUUAGCUGAGCGGGCGUGGGAGACGGAUCGUUUACUUUGAAAAAAUCAGAGUGUUUCAAGCAGGCAGCUCGCUCUUGCAUGGAUUAGCAUGGGAUAAUGAAAUAGGACUUUGGUGCUAUUUUGUUGGUUUCGAACACCGAAGUAAUGAUUAACAGGGACAGUCAGGGGCACUCGUAUUCCGCCGAGAGAGGUGAAAUUCUCAGACCAGCGGAAGACGAACCACUGCGAAAGCAUUUGCCAGGGAUGUUUUCAUCA